AUGGCCGGCACCACGGUGCUCCCGUCGUCUCAGCUCCCGCGCCGUAGCGCCGCCGCCGCCGACGACCUGCACUCCUGCUCCUCCCGGGUGCGCGUAAACCCCGCCUUGAUGGCGAACCCCGCAGCUGCCAAGAGGCCCAAGCGUCCCGGAUCCGUGCGCACCGUCCAACCGCCGGCGCCAAAGCGCGUACGCGGUGCCUGCUCCGGGGGCGAGCUCCAUGUCGCGGUCGCCGCCAACAUCGAGAGCAGCAGCAAGCUUCCGUGUCCCAGCAGCUGCAAGGAUCCGAAGAGUCCGACGUGCCUCCACCCUUCCGGGAUCAACAACCAGGUCGCCGUAUCUCCGGAGAGCGCGACGCAAUCGAAGCCGCUGAGCAUGCGCGAACUGAUCGAGAAAGCUCGCCACACCAUGGCUCUCCUCGACAAGGCUCACUCUGCCACCGAAGAAGAGGCCAGCCGUCUGCGCGACAUCGAGCGCAGCCGAGCGGAGGCCCGGCGAAAGGUGGAGCAGAUGGCGGACACGGUGCAGUUCAACGACCCCUGGAUCCAUCACUCCGACGUGACCAAGUCCCCUCAGGAGCUGCUCCAAGCAAGACAGCAAGCUUGGCGUUAUCAAGCUCACCGCAUCGAGAUGGCUCGUCGACGGGACAUGAUGCAGGUCCACGGAUGUGUGCUCAACAUUGGUUGUGAUGAUCCCACCAAGAAGAUCACUUCUGUGCUUGAACUACUGUUCCAUAUGACUUCUAUUUUCCUGGAGAAGAACAGAUAUGGUUUUGUUUCAUGUAAAAACAUUGGAUCUGAUCAGUCUGAUGUAUGCAAGCAUCUGCCGUUGGAUCUCUUUCCUGCACACCGCAUGUCAAACUGGGAGUACCUUAGAGGCUACGGAGUACCUUCCAUGUACAACAUGGGACGUGAUGAACAAUCCAGUCACGGUCAGAGCCUGGCACAGCAACUUUAUAGGAGAAUUUCAGCUUGCGGCAAGAUCGCCGGUUUCGUAGGUCAGCUUGGGAGACAGGAGGAGCUCCACUUGGAGUUUUUAGUAUCAUUUCACCAUGCUCAAGCAGUCAACAGACUACAGCAUUCGUUGCUCCUGCAUGUGAAAAGACAGUUGAUAUCACUAAGCUUUCAGAUGAGAGACAGCCUUAAAGGUGAAACAACUGCUGGCCAUGCUGACCCAUUAACAUCGCAGAAGCAAGCGCACUACUUCUCCUGUUGUCAGGGCGGAGUGCCGGCGUCCAUGGAACUUUGGAACCCGUGGAGCAUCCCAGCAUCAUGUGGUCGAGUGGUGCCUGGUUACACAUCCAGUUUCAACUACUUGCAGAAAUUUCAAAUUAGUUGCUUGCAUCCAUUUGCACGGCUUCAGUCUUCAGCAUCCAAAAAACACCACGCAAGGGCUCCCUUCCUUGCCGAGAAACAGCAAAAGUUUAUCCAUGCCUUUCCUUGGCUCCUCCUGCUCUUCUUUGCCUCUCCUACCAGCUCCUGCACGGAGCAGGAGAGUAGCUCUCUCGUCAACUUCCUAGAUGGGCUCAUGCCAGAUGGCAACGGUGGUCUCAACAAUUCAUGGGUAAAUGGCACAGACUGCUGCAAAUGGGAAGGCAUCAUCUGCAGCAGCGAUGGGACAGUCACAGAUGUCUUGCUGGCCACCAGAGGUCCCAAAGGGGGCAUCUCGCCAUCCAUCGUCAAUCUUACAGGCCUGUUGCACCUCAACCUGUCCGAGAAUUCGCUCGAAGGCAGUCUACCAACAGAAUUAGUUUUCUCCAGAAGCAUUAUUGGCCUCGAUGUCAGCUUCAACCGCCUCAAAGGUCAUCUACAAGAGAUGCAAUCCUCAAAUCCCAGCCUUCCUCUCCAGGUACUGAACAUCUCAAGCAAUUUCUUCACAGGACAGUUCCCAAAAACAGCAUGGGAUGUAAUGAAGAACCUGGUUGCUCUUAAUGCAAGCAAUAACAGCUUUACAGGACAAAUACCAUCCUCUAUCUGCAUCAAUACCCCAUCAUUUGCCAUGCUCGACCUAUCAUAUAAGCAAUUCAGCGGCAAUAUUUCUCUGGGGCUUGGCAGUUGCUCUAUGCUGAGAGUGCUCAAAGUUGACCACAACAACCUUACUGGAGCUCUCCCCCCACGAACUCUUCAAUGCUACCUCACUGGAGCACCUCUCCUUACCCAACAAUUUCUUGCAAGGAGUUCUUGA
rnacentral:rRNA from 1 species